rnacentral:rRNA from 1 species
CCCUUAGAUGUUCUGGGCCGCACGCGUGCUACACUGAGUGGAUCAGCGGGUCAGGUUGCGCAAAAGCGUUUCCUAAUCUUUAAAUCCGCUCGUGAUGGGGAUUGACGGUUGCAAUUUUCUGUCAUGAACGAGGAAUACCUUGUAAGCGCGGGUCAUCAUCCCGCGCUGAAUACGUCCCUGCCCUUUGUACACACCGCCCGUCGCUCCUACCGAUUGAGUGGUCCGGUGAGGCUUUGGGAUCUGAGCGGAAAGAGCGUUUCGCUGUUUCUGCUCGGAAAACUCAGUCGAACCUUAUCAUUUAGAGGAAGGAGAAGUCGUAACA